rnacentral:rRNA from 1 species
UCGCUUUGGGAGGAGCUCGCUUACUAUCAGCUUGUUGGUAGGGUAAUGGCCUACCAAGGCUAUGACGGUUAGGGGGUGUGAGAGCAUGACCCCCAGCAUUGGCACUGAAACACUGGCCAAACACCUACGGGUGGCUGCAGUCGAGAAUCUUCCACAAUGGGGGAAACCCUGAUGGAGCGAUGCUGCGUGCGGGAUGAAGGCCUUCGGGUUGUAAACCGCUUUUGUAGGGGACGAAAUUUUUGACGGUACCCUUUCGAAUAAGAGGUUGCUAACUCUGUGCCAGCAGCAGCGGUAAUACAGAGACCUCAAGCGUUAUCCGGAUUUACUGGGCGUAAAGCGUCUGUAGGGGGUUUAUUAAGUUCCAAGUAAAAUUUCAAGGCUCAACUUUGAAUUCGCUUGGAAAACUAAUAAACUGGAGUCUAGCAGAGGUGCAUGGAACUUGUGGUGUAGGAGUGAAAUCCGUUGAUAUCACAAGGAACACCAAAGGCGAAGGCAUUGCACUGGGCUAGCACUGACCCUGAGAGACGAAAGCGUGGGGAGCAAAACGGAUUAGAUACCCGUGUAGUCCACGCCCUAAACGAUGAAUGCUAAAUGUUCGGGGAUUCGACCCCCUGGGUGUUACAGCUAACGCGUUAAGCAUUCCGCCUGGGAAGUACGGCCGCAAGGCUAAAACUCAAAGGAAUAGACGGGGAUCCGCACAAGCGGUGGAGCGUCUGGUUUAAUUCGACAGUAAGCGUGGUACCUCACCAGGGUUUGACAUCCCUUGACAGCCUUGGAAACAAGGUUUCCUUCGGGCAAGGUGACAGGUGCUGCAUGGUCGUCGUCAGUUCGUGCCGUGAGGUGUUCCGUUAAGUCGGGAAACGAACGAAACCCCUACUGCAUGUUACAAUUUCUCAUGCAAGACUGCCCGGAUAUACUGGGAGGAAGGUGGGGAUGACGUCAGAUCUGCAUGGUCCUUAUACCCUGGGCGACACAGGCGCUACAAUGGCAGAGACAAAGGGUUGCAAAACCGCAAGGUGAAGCUAAUCCCAAAAACUUUGUCUAAGUUCGGAUUGAAGGCUGCAAUUCGCCUUCAUGAAGCUGGAAUCGCUAGUAAUCGUGAAUCAGCCACGUCACGGUGAAUAUGUUCCCGGAUCUUGUACUCACCGCCCGUCACACCAAGAGAGUUGGUAGCUCACCGAAGCGUCCCGUUUUAGCGGGGC